rfam:Stegodyphus mimosarum contig18630, whole genome shotgun sequence.
GCUUUCGUGGUGUAGUGGUCAGCAAACUCGUCGUGUAACCGGGAGGUCUGUGGUUCGAUUCCCGGCGAGGGCA